UAAAAACUGCAGCAAAGUUUUUCGACCCUAUUGGGUUUCUUAGUCCUGUGACAGUGAGAUUUAAAAUGUUAUUCCAAGCACUAUGUAAAGAGAAAACGAAGUGGGAUGAAGAAUUGCAAGUUACUUUUGGAGAUGGAGAAAUUGGGUGGGAUAACGGUACCGCGAUGCUAUUUUGUUCCGAUGAUGAAGAUUGUACAAGUUCAGUUACACGGAUUCUCCGAUGCUAGUGAACGUGCGUUUGCGGGAGUUGUUUAUGUACGAACAGUUUACGAAGAUGGAGUAAUUGUCGUGCGUCUAGUCGCAGCUAAGUCUAGGGUUUCUCCAAUGAAGCAACAAACAAUUCCUCGUUUGGAGUUACUCGGUGCCAAUAUUUUAGCUCGAUUGUCAAGUUCCGUGAAUAAUGCUCUAGCGAAUAAAGUCGGAGAACUGCGUAGUUUUCAUUGGACAGAUUCUUCAGCUGUUCUGUGCUGGAUUAAAAACGAGAAGAGCUGGAAGCAAUACGUAAAUCAACGUGUUAAGGAAAUUCGAAAUUUGACGGAUAAAGAGUCAUGGAAUCAUUCUCCCGGUGCAAUGAAUCCAGCCGAUCUACCAUCGCGAGGUAUACGAGUUGACGAGAUGCUUUCCAAUCCCCUUUGGUGGAAUGGACCUGCAUUUUUACAACGACCCGAGGAAGAAUGGCCUAAACUGGGGUAUCAGGAAGAAAUCGAUAAAGCAGCAGAGGAUGAGGUCGUCAAACAACCAAAAACUGUCACGCGUGUGUUGGUUGGAGCUGUUAGUUCUCAAAUCCCAGACGUGGCCUCCGUGAUUGAUUGUGAUCGAUUCAGUGAUAAAUUGAAGCUUCUGCGAGUAACCGCAUACGUCAAUCGGUUUAUCUCCCUUUUGAAAAGCAGAGUUAAGGGAACCAACGAACAGCUAAUUGCUCACGGUUCAAACCUUUCUGCGGCCGAAAUUUUAAGAGCUGAAAAUAUGUGGAUCUGGAGUGUUCAAGAAUCGAGCUUCGCGGAAGAAUUGAAAUACUUGCGAAGUAAGUCGAAAGCAUCGUCCCCGCCGAAUGUUCUGUAUGAUGUCCUUAGGACUGUAUGUCGAUCAAGAUGAUAUGCUAAAAUGUAACGGUAGAUUAAACAAUGCGCCUUUCCUCGAAUCAGAGAAACGACCGAUACUUCUCCCAUCCAAACACUAUUUCACAAAAUUGACAAUUCGAAGGGUUCACGAAGAUGUUAAGCACAGUGGUAUCAAUCACACGUUAUCAACGUUGCGCGAAAGGUUCUGGGUGUUGCGAGGACGAGAAACCGUGAAACGAAU